rnacentral:rRNA from 1 species
UACGGGGGGGGCAAGCGUUGUUCGGAAUUACUGGGCGUAAAGGGCGCGUAGGCGGCCUUCUAAGUCAGACGUGAAAUCCCUCGGCUCAACCGAGGAACUGCGUCUGAUACUGGAUGGCUUGAGUUUGGGAGAGGGAUGCGGAAUUCCAGGUGUAGCGGUGAAAUGCGUAGAUAUCUGGAGGAACACCGGUGGCGAAGGCGGCAUCCUGGACCAACACUGACGCUGAGGAGCGAAAGCCAGGGGAGCAAACGGG